rnacentral:rRNA from 1 species
UACGUAGGGUGCAAGCGUUAAUCGGAAUUACUGGGCGUAAAGCGUGCGCAGGCGGCUUUGCAAGACAGAUGUGAAAUCCCCGGGCUUAACCUGGGAACUGCAUUUGUGACUGCAUGGCUGGAGUGCGGCAGAGGGGGAUGGAAUUCCUGGUGUAGCAGUGAAAUGCGUAGAUAUCAGGAGGAACACCGAUGGCGAAGGCAGGUCUCUGGGCUGACACUGACGCUGAGGCACGAAAGCGUGGGGAGCAAACAGG